rfam:Drosophila virilis strain TSC#15010-1051.87 Ctg01_1794, whole genome shotgun sequence.
UAGGAACCGUGAGAUUAAGCCAUCGCGGCAGGUGCUCACGUUAAGCCCACUGACUUUCAUGUCCCUAUCUACUAUCUAGCGAAACCACAGCCAAGGGAACGGGCUUGGAAUAAUUAGCGGGGAAAGAAGACCCUUUUGAGCUUGACUCUAAUCUGGCAGUGUAAGGAGACAUAAGAGGUGUAGAAUAAGUGGGAGAUAUUAGACUUCGGUUUGGUAUCGACAAUGAAAUACCACUACUCUUAUUGUUUCCUUACUUACUUGAUUAAAUGGAACGUGUAUCAUUUCCUAGCCAUUAUACGGAUAUAAUUAUUAUGUCUUAUGGUAUUGGGUUUUGAUGCAAGCUUCUUGAUCAAAGUAUCACGAGUUUGUUAUAUAAUCGCAAACAAAUUCUUUAAUGAGAGAAUGCAUUUAUGUAUUAUUGAUUUAAAAAUUUGGUAUAAAUCCAAUUACUCAGGUAUGAUUCAAUUCAAGGACAUUGCCAGGUAGGGAGUUUGACUGGGGCGGUACAUCUCUCAAAUAAUAACGGAGGUGUCCCAAGGCCAGCUCAGUGCGGACAGAAACCACACAUAGAGCAAAAGGGCAAAUGCUGACUUAAUCUCGGUGUUCAGUACACACAGGGACAGCAAAAGUUCGGCCUAUCGAUCCUUUUGGUUUAAAGAGUUUUUAACAAGAGUUGUAGUCAUAAAAGUUACCAUAGGGAUAACUG